rnacentral:rRNA from 1 species
AACGAACGUUGGCGGCGUGGAUUAGGCACGCAAGUCGGGGGAAUCCCAGCAAUGGGGGAACCGGCGUAAGGGGCAGUAAUGUGUGGGUACCUACCUUUGGGUUCGGGAUAGCCAUCAGAGAUGGUGGGUAAUACCGGAUGACGUCGUGAGACCAAAGAUUUAUCGCCCGAAGAGGGGCCCACAUGAUAUUAGCUAGUUGGUGAGGUAACGGCUCACCAAGGCGAAGAUGUCUAGCGGGUGUGAGAGCACGACCCGCGCCACUCGCACUGAGACACUGGCGAGACACCUACGGGUGGCUGCAGUCGAGGAUCUUCGGCAAUGAGCGCAAGCUUGACCGAGCGUCGCCGCGUGAGCGAUGAAGGCCUUCGGGUUGUAAAGCUCUUUAGUGGGGGAGAAAAGCCCGCGAGGGUGUGAUCUAUCCCAAAAAUAAGCACGGGCUAAGUUCGUGCCAGCCGCCGCAGUAACAC